UACGUAGGGUGCAAGCGUUAAUCGGAAUUACUGGGCGUAAAGCGUGCGCAGGCGGUUUUGUAAGUCUGUCGUGAAAUCCCCGGGCUCAACCUGGGAAUGGCGAUGGAGACUGCAAGGCUAGAGUUUGGCAGAGGGGGGUAGAAUUCCACGUGUAGCAGUGAAAUGCGUAGAUAUUGCUCGGAAGGCCAACGGCGAAGGCAGGUUACUGGUACGCAACUGACGCUGAGGCACGAAAGCGUGGGGAGCAAACAGG
rnacentral:rRNA from 1 species